GGAUCAUUCUGGGCUUAGCAAAGAAUGACCUUUGUCCUGGAAAACCCCUGAAACCCAGGAAAACCAGGACAUCUGGUUACUCCACAGUCUCACCUGAGGUGUUCUGACCUCACAGAGCAGCCCGGUGACCACAGUGGUAGGGUUAAGUGAGGUCUCUAUUAGGGGCAGGCUUUUGCACAUUUACUUGGGGUUCCUGUAAAUUUCAUCCCUUGACCAAAUAAUGCUUCUGUUGCCAACAGACACAACCACAGGAAUCCUGGGAGUCACCCUGGCUGUGUCUGGAUGUCACAAAAAAUGUGAAGAGCAAAAUCCAGGCAGUUUCAUGAUGUGGUGAUGAUCAAACCCUGUCCCCCAGGGGUGUGAAAAACAGACACCUCUUUAAUAGAAUUUAGUUUUCUUAACUCAGACUUUUUUUGGGCUGAAUUUAUGCUAGCCUGUUUAGUCAUGUCUUCAAGCAACCACUUGUUACAAAGGGUUAAAGUUUUAGCUUGCUUACUAUCAUGAAAAGGGUGAGAGAAAAAGGCUAUUAUUUAGCUAAGAAGACGUAUCCAUUUUUUUUAAGGACAGCAGUCAGGGAUUCAAACGACCCUUCCCAUCUCUUCACUAUUUCACAGUAUUCACUGUCUAAAGGGCUUCCCACCCUCUCUUCAGCCUCCGCAGGACAUAAGCAAAACCAGAUGCCUGCCCUCAGCUGAGGUCCUCAAACAGACAGGCACCCAAAGUGUUGCUGUGGCAAUAAUCUCUGUGUUCCACUUACUGCAGGAAAACAGAAUUUAAUCAUGGGUUCCUUGGACUCCAGCCUUGCCAUAUAGUUCCUGCAGCUAGAAUCCACUGCAUGGAAAAUCUGGCAUACGAUUACUGUCCAGAGCUCUGGAAGAAUGCUAGCCUUGCACAGAUAUUUUCUUUGCCUGGUUAGGCUGUCAAACACCCUGACCUCGUCAAUGUUUUAAAAGGUAGGAGUUGUUACAGUUCUCAGUCCCCUAAGAGGCUGACCAAGUGCUGAGAGGGGCUCCCAGCUUCUCUGCAUUCUGGAAAACCCACCGCAGAGCCCCGCCCUAGUGUGCUUCCGGAGCUUCUAAUGCACUUCUCUAUUACUUCAAGAACACUGUGUAUAAUAAUAAACUCUACAGAAAUAAACCAAAUCACAAGAAGCUUUCAGGUCUGGAGGCUGACAUUUCUCAAGACAGAUGCAAAAACCCAGGCCCAGAGAGAUGAAGAAACCUGGCUAAGGUAACAUGGUCUUUUCCACCCAGGUUGGAGUGAAGUGGCCCAAUAUCAACUCAUUGCAACCUCUGCCUCCUGGCUCAGACUCUCCUCCAGCCUCAGUCUUCCGAGUAGCUGGGACCACAGGUGCACACCACCACACCUGGCUAAUUUUCUGUAUAAAAAUAAAUAAUUUUUCUAAUGCUUUAUCCUGAAUCUGAAUUUGGGCUUCAGCUGUGAGGUUCACAGCAGCAGAGCUACUGCCAGAUCAACUGGUUAUAUCUGGUUGAGAGGGGGCGAUUGCUAGUCAGGAAGUUUCUGCUGAUCACGGCUUUGUAAAUGGACCAAAGUUGAUCAUGGUUUUCCUAGAAAAUCAACUAUUCAGAGAAACCCCCCAUCACUACCAUCAUCAUUCUCCCCGUUUCCUCUGCUGAGAAGCUCAACUAAAAGACUGAUUCUGUUUCAGUCACUCAGGGCAGGAAACUUAUUCCUAAGAAUCUGGUUCCUUAUGUUUUUGGCUUUAGUUCUAGACAAUUGAAAGGAUUAGACAUUUUUCAAAGGGCUUUCUUGGAACCUGCUUUCAACCUGCUUGAGAAAACUUCCCCUGUUUGGUUUCCUUGCAUAGCUGAAGCCACUUGAUAACAGAAAGUGAUAACUCUAGCAUUAACGGUUGGAAACCACAUGCAUUGCUCACUCACCUCCCUUCAUAAGUGCAACACUUCUUGCUCACUAUCUUGACUUUGGUUUGAGACAUACUCUGGCUGACUUUCAAGGGAGUUACAAGUUACAAAAGAAACUUGUCCAUAAAAUAAACACCCUAUCUCCUUGUUUAUUUAAGAGUAUCUCUUAAUCCUGGUCUGAUUUAGUUGGAUAAUUAAGGCUUGCUAGAAUUUUAAAAGCUAAAUUCAUCAGGCAGUUGUCAAAUCAUCACUUUGGGCUGGGGAGAUUGGGUUUGAGUAAUUUGAAUAAUACAAUAUAACUGAAAAGACAGAUGUCUGAAGAAGGUCAUGCACUUAUGAUAUUGUGCUCUGACUCUGUUAGUCAGCAUUUCAGAUAGAGCAUAAUACAUUGAUUUGAUAAAACAUUUUUCUGAAUCCCUCUUUCUACAUUAAUGUUUAUAUUUUCAAAACGAUUGUUUGAAAGAAAGUGUCUUAUAGAAUCCAUUGUUUGGCAUCUUGGUAACCAAAGAAAUGGGUGUCUGACUGAAUUAAACCUUUUUAAAAACUGGAGUGCACUCAAUAUAGUUGCCAUAUGCAUCCUAGUCUAUUUUGUAUUUGACUUAAACCCAGACGUGAAGCUGUAUGAAAUUGUAGUCCAGAAUUUAGAUUAAAGAUUUAAUCGUUUAUCUUUGAAGAACUUGUAGUCUUUUUUUCUUAGUCCACAAAUAUAAUUACAUUGCAACAUGUGUUUCAAGUGUUAUUUCUUUGGAAAAUUGCUUUAUUGUCAGACUUUCUCUUUUUAUGAACACCAAUACAUUGCUAAGUUUAUGUGCUGGUAAACAAUACCAAAAAAGUGUGUACCAUUCCUGAACAGUCUUUCUUAAUUUAUAAACUUAGAAGUCACCUAUGUUUUAGAUUCUC
rnacentral:lncRNA from 1 species